AUGGACGCAAGUCUGAUGGAGCAACGCCGCGUGAGUGAAGAAGGUUUUCGGAUCGUAAAGCUCUGUUGUUGGUGAAGAAGGAUAGAGGUAGUAACUGGCCUUUAUUUGACGGUAAUCAACCAGAAAGUCACGGCUAACUACGUGCCAGCAGCCGCGGUAAUACGUAGGUGGCAAGCGUUGUCCGGAUUUAUUGGGCGUAAAGCGAGCGCAGGCGGAAAAAUAAGUCUAAUGUGAAAGCCCUCGGCUUAACCGAGGAAUUGCAUCGGAAACUGUUUUUCUUGAGUGCAGAAGAGGAGAGUGGAACUCCAUGUGUAGCGGUGGAAUGCGUAGAUAUAUGGAAGAACACCAGUGGCGAAGGCGGCUCUCUGGUCUGCAACUGACGCUGAGGCUCGAAAGCAUGGGUAGCGAACAGGAUUAGAUACCCUGGUAGUCCAUGCCGUAAACGAUGAGUGCUAAGUGUUGGGAGGUUUCCGCCUCUCAGUGCUGCAGCUAACGCAUUAAGCACUCCGCCUGGGGAGUACGACCGCAAGGUUGAAACUCAAAGGAAUUGACGGGGGCCCGCACAAGCGGUGGAGCAUGUGGUUUAAUUCGAAGCAACGCGAAGAACCUUACCAGGUCUUGACAU
rnacentral:rRNA from 1 species